AACGUUUGUUAGCCUAUGGUGGAAAGCUGGAUCACAGCUUUGUCGGAGGUGGCGACAAUGUUUGUAAAAUAGCCAAGUAUGUGAGAGGUCUGACUGGGAUGUGAGCAGGGAUGUUAACCUCUACUUGACCCCAUAAGAAGAGGAUUUGGACUUUAAGUGAGGAAUCUAUAUGAAAGUGUUAAUUCACUUUAAGUGGCCAAUUAGUCAGUCAGUGGAUCCACCCUGGACAUCUCCCUCUACAGUGGGGUUGGUCUGGGUUUCAGGUGGAUGUAUUGAGAAGUGGAGCAUCUAACCUCAGAAGGAGGGGCACCUUGGACCAGAGUGUAUAUUAGACCCUCACCGUUGGGGCAGGAGACCCACUCCUCAUCGACUGUUUUGCCCUUCUGCUGUCUGAGCACCUCUGGCUGCUGCUUCCCUCUCCCAGGUCCAGGAUGCUGGGACGGCUGUUUCUGCAGAGUGUGGUCAUGGUUUGGCUGGCACACACAGCACACACAUGGGGUUAUGGUGCCACAACUGGGGUCUCAAAUGGGCCAGCUAAUGGUAAGCUCUUCAGCUUUUAUUCAAACAACAAAAGUUACUGAUGAAACCCUCACUUUUGUUCAGGUGCUGUUAUUUUUAUAUCGUUAUCAUUUUAGGAGAUACAUUUCAAAAAGGUGGAGGUCUUGGAAGCAUGUUGAUGCCAU
rnacentral:lncRNA from 1 species